UUGGGGCUGGUGACACUACCGCCACGCCAAAAUUGCGACUGGUGGCAAUUCACAGGUACUAAUUUUGGGUGUACCCCUUUGGGAAUGCCGAGAAAAAAAAUUCUCCCAAGUUUCAGUUCAAGUGGUUGGGUUGCAUCGUAGCAACUGUUGCCUUUCAAGUUGUUUAUUUUCUGUCAACGACAGCGGAACUGAAAAUCAUUGGUCGUUGGUUUUUAAAAUCUUUUUAUAAAAUUCCUCGGAUUUGGGCUGCCCACACCCCCACAAAUCACAUGGACGGAAUCGAUUCCUUCUGUGGUGCCCACCGUUAGGCAUGGCGACAUGUCGGCAACCCACCAAAACGGACGAUUCUUCAGCAGCCUUCUUUUGGCUGGACUCUCAAAAACCGGCGGAAA